UACGGAGGGGGCUAGCGUUGUUCGGAAUUACUGGGCGUAAAGCGCGCGUAGGCGGCUUUGUAAGUUAGAGGUGAAAGCCCGGAGCUCAACUCCGGAACUGCCUUUAAGACUGCAUCGCUAGAAUUGUGGAGAGGUGAGUGGAAUUCCGAGUGUAGAGGUGAAAUUCGUAGAUAUUCGGUAGAACACCAGUGGCGAAGGCGACUCACUGGACAUGUAUUGACGCUGAGGUGCGAAAGCGUGGGGAGCAAACAGG
rnacentral:rRNA from 1 species